rnacentral:rRNA from 1 species
UACGUAGGGGGCAAGCGUUGUCCGGAUUUACUGGGCGUAAAGAGCGUGUAGGCGGCCAAGCAGGUCCGUUGUGAAAACUGGAGGCUUAACCUGGGAAUGGCAGUGGAAACUAGAGAACUUGAAUCUGGCAGAGGGGGGUGGAAUGCCACGUGUAGCAGUGAAAUGCGUAGAUAUGUGGCGGAACACCGAUGGCGAAGGCGGCUCACUGGCCCGGUACUGACGCUGAGGUGCGAAAGCGUGGGGAGCAAACAGG